AACGAACGCUGGCGGCAUGCCUAACACAUGCAAGUCGAACGAUGCCUCCGGGCAUAGUGGCGCACGGGUGCGUAACGCGUGGGAAUCUGCCCUUGGGUUCGGAAUAACUCGCCGAAAGGCGAGCUAAUACCGGAUGAUGACGUAAGUCCAAAGAUUUAUCGCCCAAGGAUGAGCCCGCGUAGGAUUAGCUAGUUGGUGGGGUAAGGGCCCACCAAGGCGACGAUCCUUAGCUGGUCUGAGAGGAUGAUCAGCCACACUGGGACUGAGACACGGCCCAGACUCCUACGGGAGGCAGCAGUGGGGAAUAUUGGACAAUGGGCGAAAGCCUGAUCCAGCAAUGCCGCGUGAGUGAUGAAGGCCUUAGGGUUGUAAAGCUCUUUUACCCGGGAUGAUAAUGACAGUACCGGGAGAAUAAGCUCCGGCUAACUCCGUG
rnacentral:rRNA from 1 species